AUUGAACGCUGGCGGCAAGCUUAACACAUGCAAGUCGAGCGAGCGGCGGACGGGUGAGUAAUGUCUGGGAAACUGCCUGAUGGCGGGGGAUAACUACUGGAAACGGUAGCUAAUACCGCAUACCAUCAGAUGUGCCCAGAUGGGAUUAGCUAGUAGGUGGGGGAAUGGCUCACCUAGGCGACGAUCCCUAGCUGGUCUGAGAGGAUGACCAGCCACACGGGAACUGAGACACGGUCCAGACUCCAACGGUAGGCAGCAGGGGGGAAUAUUGCACAAGGGGCGCAAGCCUAAUACAGCCAUGCGGCGUGUGUGAGGAAUGCCUUCGGGUUGUAAAGCACUUUCAGCGAGGAGGCGUUACUCGAAGAAGAAGCACCGGCUAACUCCGUGCCAGCCGCCGCGGUAAUUC
rnacentral:rRNA from 1 species